rnacentral:RNase_P_RNA from 1 species
GGAGUUGGACAGGCUACCGCUGCAUAUUUUUAAGAUAUGCAGAGGAAAGUCCGGGCUCCACAGGGCAGGGCGCUGGGUAAUACCCAGUGGAGGUGACUCCAGGAAAGUGCCACAGAAAAUAGACCGCCUCUUUUGGAGGUAAGGGUGAAACGGUGGGGUAAGAGCCCACCAGCUGCCAUGGUGACAUGGCAGGCUAGGUAAACCCCGCCCGGAGCAAGGCCAAAUAGGAAGGCGUUUGAGGCUGGCCCGGCCAAUGCCUUCGGGUAGGCCGCUUGAGGUAGGGAGCAAUCCUUACCCGAGAUGAAUGGUAGCCACCUGUUAAUCAGGUACAGAACCCGGCUUAUGUCCAACUCCUUUA